AGUGAACGCUGGCGGUAGGCCUAACACAUGCAAGUCGAACGGCAGCACAGGAGAGCUUGCUCUCUAGGUGGCGAGUGGCGGACGGGUGAGGAAUACAUCGGAAUCUGCCCAGUCGUGGGGGAUAACGUAGGGAAACUUACGCUAAUACCGCAUACGACCUUCGGGUGAAAGAGGGGGAUCGCAAGACCUCUCGCGAUUGGAUGAGCCGAUGUCGGAUUAGCUAGUUAGCGGGGUAAUGGCCCACCAAGGCGACGAUCCGUAGCUGGUCUGAGAGGAUGAUCAGACACACUGGAACUGAGACGCGGUCAAGACUCCUACGGGAGGCAGCAGUGGGGAAUAUUGGACAAUGGGCGCAAGCCUGAUCCAGCCAUACCGCGUGGGUGAAGAAGGCCUUCGGGUUGUAAAGCCCUUUUGUUGGGAAAGAAAUCUUUCAGGCUAAUACCCUGGGAGGAUGACGGUACCCAAAGAAUAAGCACCGGCUAACUUCGUG
rnacentral:rRNA from 1 species